GUAAAUAAGUAGCAAAGAUUCUUUAUUGAGAUUAGUAAUAACAGCAGCUAUCAGCCACACAGCUGUUUCUCAGAGUAAAUAUGGUAAAUGCAAUUUGAAUCAAAUGCUUGGGAUAAGUGAUACCAAGUUAAGAUGCACUUAAUAAACGAUAGCUGUCUAUGCUGUACAUCUGGGGUCACUGUUGCUUGAAUUCUGGUUUUGUGUGCAGCCAAUUACUGAGUUUAUGCUUCACACAUGUUGUUACUCCCUUAUACGGAGGGUAAUGUGCAGGGAGGAAAGUUCAGAAUCACUCUUAAAAACCCCCUAGGAGUCGGGUGUGGUGGCACAAGCCUGUUAUCACAGCAAUUCAGGAGGCAAAGGCAGAAGGACUGAAGUUCAAGGCCUGCCUGGGAAAUUUAGUGAGGCUAUGCUCGGGGGUGGGGGAUCCCCUAGGAAGGUACAAGUGUUGUGGAAAUCCAUCUUAGUAAGCCCAACAUGGCCAGUUUUUCUAGGUCUUGCAUUAGCAAGACCAUUCUUGGUAAAUUUAAAUACUCACAAAAAUAUUGACCACUGCAAAUCAGUAAAUGAUUACCAAAUGAGAAAUUAGCGUCACAAAAUUUGUAAAAUCAUUGUUGGUGUUUCUAUCCAAAUCAUUCAGUUUAAGAGACUGCAUUCCAAUACCCAAACUGUUUAAAGUGCACAUUUCUACCCAAGCAAUUCAGACAGUUUCAGAACAGCUAUUUUGGUGACUAGGAAACAAUGACUUGAGCAGACUUCUGAAAAUCACUCCCCCUGUUUUGAAGCUUUUACUCUGCAGGCUGCCAUCUCAUCUUGCCUUGAUCCUUCUAAGAGGGGUCUGCUGGCUGCCUUUCCAGCAUCCUCUGAUUUUCACUGAUCCAAGGGGCUGGAACUGAGCUUCCCUUUCAUGACAAGCAAAGUCCAAAUGACAAAGAAACAUAAAGCUCUUUCUUCCUCCCCAAUGUCACCAGCCCUUACCACAGCUGGCUUCCCAGUGACUCAUUCAAGGCCACACUCCAUUUAAAAAACAAACAAACAAACAAAAAAAAACGCACACACACACACACACAUGCACACAUACAUACACCCACAGAAACAAAAAAAAUGUAUGUUUAGUUCAAGUAGAGAUCACUCAACCAAAGAAUCACUAAGGCUAAUUAAAGUGAUUUAGCAUAUGGCUGAUAGAGAUCAGAGGUGCUAAAAAGCAACCAGUGAGCAGUCAUUCCUCCUUGAUUUGAUGGAACUUAUAAUCCCAUUAAAAUGAAAAAACAUUUUUUUUUCUCUAAAGAAUCAAUUCAAAACCUAUUCAUUAGGGAAAAAAAUCUCAUUUCUUCUAGUUUCAUUAUAAAACUAUGACAACCAAUCCAUGCAAAGUAACUAUGAGAUGACAUGAAACAAUACAAAAAAACUAAUAAAGACUCCUAUACAAGGUAGGCUUCAUUUCAAAGAAAGCCACCCAAUGUCAUGCACACACAGGACAAUUGAAACAAAAAUCCACUUAGUAACUGCACUGAGGCGAAUAGUCUAUGUGUAGCUCCAUCCUCCUUCCAGCGCUACCUAAACAGAAAGAAGAAAGUAGGAAAACCUGCUUCAUGAAUCCUGUCCUAUUGUUCUGUUGCCCAAAUGUUCUUUGAUUCAACUUCUAGAAAAAUCCUAUUUAGCUAUUAAGUCUCAAUCAGCAGGAAUGCUAAGACAGAGAAAUACACUCACCUGGUAAAAGGAUUGAUGAUAAAGAGAAUGACACAAUAUCCCUCUGAUUGUCUUGUCUGUAAA